rnacentral:miRNA from 1 species
AUUUGGUUAAGCAGGAUUACU